AACGAACGCUGGCGGCGUGCCUAACACAUGCAAGUCGUACGAGAAAUCCUGGGCAACUGGGAGAGUAAAGUGGCGCACGGGUGAGUAACGCGUGGGUAACCUACCCUUGAAUUGGGGAUAACUCUUCGAAAGGGGAGUUAAUACCGAAUAAUAUUCCAAUUCCUUCGGGGAUUGGAAUCAAAGGUGGCCUCUGCAUGCAAGCUAUCGUUUAAGGAUGGGCCCGCGUACCAUUUAGCUUGUUGGUAGGGUAACGGCCUACCAAGGCGACGAUGGUUAGCUGGUCUGAGAGGAUGAUCAGCCACACUGGAACUGACACACGGUCCAGACCUCGUACGGGUGGCAG
rnacentral:rRNA from 1 species